GACGCCCCGCCGACUCCCAUUCCUUCACCAGUCUCGACAGGAGGUCAAAUGGCGUCCACUCACUGUCUUCUGUGUACUGAGCUGUUAGACUGGGUUUAUAACAUGCUGUGGGGAAGAGACAAAAACCAACCAACAAUUGUGAUAGGGCCUCAGAUCCUCAAGUUCUACAGUUGCACCAGAGAGCAUAUUGACUCGCUACAUCACCACUUUGUAUGGCAAAUGCACCGCCCUCGACCGCAAAGCACUACAGAGGGUGGUGCAGACGGCCCAGUACAUCACUGGGGCCGAGCUCCCUGAAAUCCAGGACCUCUUUAUCAGGUGGUGUCAGAGGAAAGCACGAAAAAUUGCCAAAGACUUCAGGCACCCAAGCCAAAGACUGUUCACUCUGCUACCGUCCGGCAAAUGGUUCCGGAGCAUCGGCUCUCGGACCAACAGGCUCCGAGACAGCUUCUACCCCCAAGCCACAAGACAGCUAAACAGCCAUAAGACUGCUAAAUAGUUAAUUGAAUGGUUAGAAGGACUCUACGUUGACCCUAUCUUGCAAUGACUAUGCACAGUCACAAGACUAUAUAUACGCACCGACACAACACACUCAUCAUAUGCAGCUGCUACUCUGUUCUUUAUUCUUACUCUUAUUAUUAUCUAUCCUGAUACCUAAUCACUUUAUCCUGCCUUUAUUUACAUAUCUACCUCAAAUCCCUCUCGCACAUUGAUCUGCUAUUCAUACUCUCUGUAUACAUCUUCAUGGUUGUGUAUUCUAUUCCUCAUGUAUUUUACUCUGUAUAGUUGGGAAUGGCUAGUAAGCAAGCAUUUCACGUCAGUCUACAACAGUUGCAUUUGCCACGUGACAAAUUAAAUCUGAUGGUCCAGCACCCU